GGGGGCGCACUGGUUUCGACGGGGACAGUUGAGAUCGAGGUUGCAUGUCGAGCCCUCCGGCGACUCGGUAAUCCGCUGGAAAUAAAUAUACUCGCCGAUAAUUACGAGUACGCUCUAGCCGCGUAGGCUAGCGUCUGCCCUCUCUUUUCCUGUGAGAGGGGAGCAGGCGAGGGAAAGCAGGAUAGCUAAUUUCUCGGACCCGUUGGGAAUGAGGCGAAAAAUUUAGCGGGUUGGUCUGAUGAGUACCGUGUUCGAGGGGGACGAGUCAGGCGAGACAACAAAACUCGAAACAAACAUGUAGACGCCUCAGGUCGAAGGUUUUCGGACGCGGGUUCGAUUCCCGCCGCCUCCACCA
rnacentral:tmRNA from 1 species